UAUAUAUUAGUGUAAUUGCACAAGAGAUUUUGAUUCUUUUAGAUUUAGUUAAAUUCUAUUAUAUAUAA
rnacentral:tRNA from 1 species